rnacentral:tRNA from 1 species
GCCGAUGUAGCUCAGUUGGUAGAGCAGGCGCUUCGUAAGCGUCAUGUCGCCGGUUCGAGUCCGGCCAUCGGCUCCA